rnacentral:rRNA from 1 species
CCUACGGGCGGCAGCAGUGGGGAAUAUUGGACAAUGGGCGAAAGCCUGAUCCAGCCAUGCCGCGUGUGUGAAGAAGGCCUUCGGGUUGUAAAGCACUUUCAGUGGGGAAGAAAGCCUUGGGGCUAAUACCCUCGAGGAAGGACAUCACCCACAGAAGAAGCACCGGCUAACUCCGUGCCAGCAGCCGCGGUAAUACGGAGGGUGCGAGCGUUAAUCGGUAUUACUGGGCGUAAAGCGCGCGUAGGCGGUCUGAUAAGCCGGUUGUGAAAGCCCCGGGCUCAACCUGGGAACGGCAUCCGGAACUGUCAGGCUAGAGUGCAGGAGAGGAAGGUAGAAUUCCCGGUGUAGCGGUGAAAUGCGUAGAGAUCGGGAGGAAUACCAGUGGCGAAGGCGGCCUUCUGGACUGACACUGACGCUGAGGUGCGAAAGCGUGGGUAGCAAACAGGAUUAGAUACCCGAGUAGUC